rfam:Micromonospora carbonacea strain JXNT-1 contig1, whole genome shotgun sequence.
GGUGCGACACCGCCGAGUCGCCUACGGGCGAGCCGGGGACCCAGGUACGCCGGGGUGAAUCCGCAGCGGCGCUGCGGUAGGGCGCUCUCCCUUCCCGCCCGAACCCGUCAGCUAACCCGGUAGGCGGUAGAGGAAGAAGGA